rnacentral:rRNA from 1 species
GACGAACGCUGGCGGCGUGCUUAACACAUGCAAGUCGAACGCUGAAGCUUGGUGCUUGCCCUGGGUGGAUGAGUGGCGAACGGGUGAGUAAUACGUGAGUAGCCUGCCCUUGACUCUGGGAUAAGCCUGGGAAACUGGGUCUAAUACUGGAUACGACAUGUCACCGCAUGGUGGUGUGUGGAAAGGGUUUUACUGGUUUUGGAUGGGCUCACGGCCUAUCAGCUUGUUGGUGGGGUAAUGGCUCACCAAGGCGACGACGGGUAGCCGGCCUGAGAGGGUGGGGGGCGGGGCUGGGAGUAAUAUACCGCAGGGGCGCAUGCGGGGGGGCGGCGAGGGGGAUAGUGCGAGCUGGGCGGAAGCCUGAUGCAGCAAGUCCGCGUGAGAGGUAACGGAGGUGGGGUUGUAGGCAGAGGUCGGGCCGGAAAAAGCGAAAGCAGCGGCAGGGGCAAGAGAGGGGAAGCCUCAAUACCUC